AUGCACGCUGGCGGCGUGCCUAAUCCAUGCAAGUCGAGCGAACGGACGAGAAGCUUGCUUCUCUGAUGUUAGCGGCGGACGGGUGAGUAACACGUGGAUAACCUACCUAUAAGACUGGGAUAACUUCGGGAAACCGGAGCUAAUACCGGAUAAUAUUUUGAACCGCAUGGUUCAAAAGUGAAAGACGGUCUUGCUGUCACUUAUAGAUGGAUCCGCGCUGCAUUAGCUAGUCGGUAAGGUAACGGCUUACCAAGGCAACGAUGCAUAGCCGACCUGAGAGGGUGAUCGGCCACACUGGAACUGAGACACGGUCCAGACUCCUACGGGAGGCAGCAGUAGGGAAUCUUCCGCAAUGGGCGAAAGCCUGACGGAGCAACGCCGCGUGAGUGAUGAAGGUCUUCGGAUCGUAAAACUCUGUUAUUAGGGAAGAACAUAUGUGUAAGUAACUGUGCACAUCUUGACGGUACCUAAUCAGAAAGCCACGGCUAACUACGUG
rnacentral:rRNA from 1 species